rnacentral:lncRNA from 1 species
UUUUUUUGCAUCUGUAGGGUAUUCCCAACUAUGUUCUUUGAAGACAUCCAAUCGUUGCCAAUAACGAGUUGAAAUAUUGAGUUACCGAUAAAUUACCUUGUCGAAGGUCAUGGAGAACGAUUUCAAUCUCAAACAAUUCUGAGGUGUUUCCAUUACUGGAGUAGAUUUCCUUUGCUACAUCCCAUAUCUCUUUAGCAGUGUUGUAGAGAAGGAAAUUUUCUCCAAUUUCAUUUGUCAUAGAAUUGAUCAGCCAAGACAUGACUAUAUUAUUUUCUGACUUCCACAGUUUGAAUUUCAGUUAUGUGGUUGCUGGAG